rnacentral:tRNA from 1 species
GAGCCCUUAGCUCAGCUGGUAGAGCAACUGACUUUUAAUCAGUAGGCCGUUGGUUCGAACCCAACAGGGCUCACCA